rnacentral:rRNA from 1 species
UGUAAACUUAGACAUCCAAAUACAACUGAUGUCCGCCAGGGUACUACGAGCAUUAGCUUAAAACCCAAAGGACCUGACGGUGUCUCAGACCCCCCUAGAGGAGCCUGUUCUAGAACCGAUAACCCCCGUUAAACCUCACCACUCCUUGCCACCCCAGCCUAUAUACCGCCGUCGUCAGCUUACCCUGUGAAGGCAAUAAAAGUAAGCAAAAUGGGCACAACCCAGAACGUCAGGUCGAGGUGUAGCGCAUGAAGUGGAAAGAAAUGGGCUACAUUUUCUAAUGCAGAAUAUUACGAACAUGCACUAUGAAAUAAUGCUUGAAGGAGGAUUUAGUAGUAAAAGGGAAAUAGAGUGUCCCUUUGAACCCGGCUCUGAGACGCGUACACACCGCCCGUCACCCUCUGGCAGUCAA